rnacentral:tRNA from 1 species
GAGAAUUUAGUUAAUUAAUAACAUUACCUUGUCAAGAUAAAAUAAUAAGUUAGACCCUUAUACUUCUCC